rnacentral:rRNA from 1 species
UACGUAGGGGCAAGCGUUGUCCGGAUUUAUUGGGCGUAAAGAGCGUGUAGGCGGCCGUACAGGUCAGCUGUGAAAACUCGAGGCUCAACCUCGAGACGUCGGUUGAAACCGUACGGCUAGAGUCCGGAAGAGGAGAGUGGAAUUCCCGGUGUAGCGGUGAAAUGCGCAGAUAUCGGGAAGAACACCCGUGGCGAAGGCGGCUCUCUGGGACGGUACUGACGCUGAGACGCGAAAGCGUGGGGAGCGAACGAGGAAU